CUCCAAAUACCUCUGACCGAUGUUACAUUCUGUGAACAGAACCAGGGGCUGGAUGCGUGAGCUUUUGAAGACAUGGGUUUUUGAUAUUAGCCCGACUGCUAUAUAAUGAUAUCGUGCACUAUGACCUGUACACUAACCCUAGCGUUUUUCUUCCGGACAAACAUGGUUGAGGACUCAUAUGGAUAAGGAUACAUAUGAACAAAAUCUGUGUUCAAGUAGAAGUGCAUCUCCGUCAACAUGCGGAUCCCUCUCUUCUGCAGAAGAUGGCAUUAACAGGCGGUAACAUUUCAUCUGGUGGUGUCAAAUUGAGGUCAGUUUAGGGUUAAAGCUCUCGGUGUCCGUGUGGGACAUGGCCAGCUGCGUUUGGAUUCAUUAGGGGGCAGCGGAUCCAUUUCAAGGAAAACACUACUGAGACGAUCACGAGGCUAAAGAUCCACUCGGUGUCACAUCCUAAAAGUGCACCUACUGUAAAAAAGUAACCCCCAAACUCCCAUUUCAAAACAGACACCAAUAUCUCCACUUUGCCAUGGCUUCCUCUAAACUAGCCUGGUAGCUUAUCUUGUUGCUAAAUAUGGAGAAAUGUUUUGUUGAUUUAAUUCCUUCAAAAAGGUCACUGAUACGAAUCGGGGUUUAAAUCCUCUUAGUGACCUUAAAUACUUCUUUAGAAACAAUCGCUGCUUAACCACAGGAACAAAUAACAUCGGCCUAAUCUUGUUUGUUACUUUGUUCUGAGUUGGCCCGCCUUAGUAUUUGAGAUUAUGCAAAUAGGAAAAGCUAAUGUUGGCAAUAGAAAGCCCACAGAUAAGAGUAGAUCAUAGACUUUUCUGAGGGGGACAGAAAACCAACACUUUCAUUAACCUAAAGGUAUAUUUAAUGUAUGGUUAUUUUCUGAAGUUUUAUAGUAGGCUUUUGUUCAGUUGAUGUUCAGACAAUAUCAAUACUCGAAUGUAUAUGUUCAAAUCUAGUGAUUAACUAACUAUUCAUUUAUAUAGGUUUGUUUAUCUUAGUGUUUACAUAAUCUAGAGGGACGUUUUUUUUUGUUUAUACGUAGCCCUGUCAAUGUUUUCCUCAUGCAACACAUACGGCAUUACCUCACCAGGCUGAACUCUUUCUGACCCCACGUGAAAUGUGACUAGGGUCCCAGAAAGUGGAAUGAGCAACUCAAAUACUUGUCAAAGUUUCGCGGCUAACUGUAAAUUCUUCAGUUCCAAAGCCGUAUUUUCCCCUCUAUCGAUUCUCAGAUUCUGGUGUCUGAGGAGGGUGAGAGAGAGGGGGUGGGGUGGGGAGCUACACAAAAUGUAACUGUGGCGUUCUCCCUUGAAAAUCCUUGGGAUUUGUCUCAAAGACACUUAGCAUGCCUAAUGCGUAAAAUAUGCAUUCCUCUAGCGACAUCUGGCGGAUUGAACAAACGCCAAACGUUGAAUCGCGCCACUAUUAAGAAUUAUGAAAAAAAUAGGUAAUCUUUAGGAAAAAUCUAAUUUGCGUGACAACGAAUAAUAUGCAUUAUAAAUUGUGAUCAUAAUGAAGUCAUUAUUAUUUGAACCAUAUAUGUUUUUAAAGUGCAAUUGAAUAUAUUUUACGGUUGAAAAUAGGCUUAUUUGAAAAAUAUUUUGUGAGGAGAGAGAAUGGAUUCGAAUGCCGAUGUUAUCAAUAUAUCAAGCAUCAUUUGUAUCCCAACAAACAAUUUUUCUGUGUGAAAUGUGAACCACGCAGGGUGCUGUGUAAUAUCAAAAAUAACGGUAACCAAAAUUGUACUAUUUGUCCAAAGAUUAGGAGUAAAUAGAAAAACCCAGUGAGGAAGUUGGGACCAUCAUUAGUUCUGGUUUCUGGCUCAAUUAAUGUAAAGGAAUUUACUGGUACACAGGCCAUUCAUCUCUCAAUGCAAUUACUCAAAGGUGUUUUUCUGUACAUGAAAGCUCCUGCGAAAUAGAUAACUGGUGGAAUUAAAAAUGACACAUGAAGCUCUGAUUAUUAUAUUAUUGUAAUUAUUAUUAUUUGCCUGUUAUUAUAACUGUUACAAUCCGUUAAUGUAGGCCUAAUAUUUGACAGUGCUGUUAAUUCAAAUUAAUAGCAAAAUCACAAGCAAUCAGUUUCAAUGUUAUUAUAAAUCAUAAAAAUAUGUCUGAUUUAUUUGGACAUAAACACGUUUGAAUUAAUGUCAUAUUUCGUGAAAUAAAGAUAUUUUAGAAUGUCUCAGCAAUCUAUUAUUUAUUCCCGGUCGAUAUCGUCCAAAUAGAUUAAUGUUGCCCCACUCUAUUAUUUACAUUAUGAUAUAAUAGAAUCCCCUAAGGUCAAUAGAUAUUUGGUAAUGUUUAAGGUCAAUAGAAAUUUGGUUAUGUUUAAGGUCAAUAGAAAUUUGGUAAUGUUUUGUCAUACUGUUUUGAAUUCUCCGAAACGAAUUUCAAAACCAACCACAAUUUAUCAUAAGGACACUGAGGUUUUCUUGCAAGAACAUGCGAUCAUACUUUUUCCAUAGAGGUAGUAGUUGUCUGGAUCAUUACCGAGAGCUGAAUGAACAUCCCUCCCGACGUAGCACGGUUUCCGUCAGGUAUGGUGAGACUAGUGACCGUGGCGAGGACUACGGUCAUAUGCAUCAAAUGCUGCUGAGGAGCUUGUAUUGUGUGUUUAUCCUGAAACACUGGGUGUGCAAGAGUAGCCUAACUAUAGCCUAAUAAUUUGUCCUUGUCCCCUUCGUAUCGAACUGUCUGAGCAAAUAUAAAGAAAUGUGUAGCUAGACUAUCAGUUUACCGAGCACUUUGGGGGGAAGGUAUGCAUUUUUAUUUUGGGAUUGAGGAGGUGGACACGUAAAGGGCCCAUCUCGCCACAUUACGACAUGUAAUAGAGAGAAGUUUAAGUGGAGCCCGAGAAACUGAGAAGUUAAUAGCGCUGACCCUCUCGCGGUGCCUCUGUCGCUCAUCAUUUCUCAGACUUAAGGGGCUUAAAGAGGCAGUAGGCUAUGGGCCCACCUUUAUUACAUAUGAAACGCUCUCUUCCUUAUCUACAUAAUAGGAAAUACAUGCAUCGUUGCGUGUUAUGCGGAUUUGGAAAUAGAAACAUGUCCAAUAAAGUCGCCCUCCCUAGCUGAUCAAAGGGGAACAUGGCUUUAGGCACCAAAGAAACUACCCCGACCAUUUAAGCCGUUAUUAAAUUGUAUUAAUUCCCCUCUCCACUUUAAACUUUACAUAAAUUCCACCCUUGAGUUGUUUGUCCAGUACAGAGGGGAACAAUUUAAGUGUUACAUUUUCAUGGUUGCAUCAUGCCCCGGAAUUGAAUUCAAUUGGACAGAAUAAUCAAGAACGCAAAUAGAAUGUGUUCGGUUGCCCUCUGGACAAUUGGAGAUGUUUUUAUGCCAGCCUUGAUGGCAGACGUGUCGAGAUUCAUAAUUAGGCAUGCAGCUUUAAACCUCGGAAUGUCUGUCAGACACACAUCCAACUUAACAGAUAACCAUAUCUUAUCUUAACGCAAGCUUCUGACACUGCACGAAAACCCCACUAUGUAUUUAAAGCUAUUUGCAGACCUUCAAUUGUUUUCAAAUGUGAGAAUAGGCCAUCCACGUAAUGCACCCUUUGCGAAAAAAAAGUCGAUGGUUAUCAAAGUUUCCUUCUUGAAAUUGUUCAAUGCUAUUUUAUAUAUACGCUUUUUACGAGUUACGAGUUAUAGCCUUCAGAAAAGCUUUAUUGUCUUUUACUUGGUUGAAAAGUCACUACUUUCAAUAUAAUGCAACACUAAUAAUUAUAGUUUUCCUACAGGAACAUUUUGUGAAAGUGACAUACUGUAGGCUACUUUCAGAUUGCUCUGCCUUCAUGUGCGUGGUAAUAUUUUUUGAACUCGCCAAAUUGUCUUAUCAAAUGGCAGGUGAAUAUAGCCCCCCAUGUGUCUAUACAUCUUAACAAUUAUGGACCUGUUAUGGGACUUUUGUGUAGCGGUAAAUAAGAACAGUUAAAUAAGAGGAAGUUUUCAUUUGGAUAAAUGUGUAUGUUCAGCUGUCAUAUACUAGCCUAUUGCCCUGCUACUUUGUGAAAUGUGUGAGAUGCUUUAUGUUGUACAAUAGGAGUGUAGUUGAACUGAAAGAGAGGCAGGAGUGGUUGUUUCCACCAGGGUGGGGAGUUCCAGUCAUGUCGGUUACAGCUGCAUUACAUUUAGGCUAGGUAGGCUAAAGUGAAAGACUGACUAGAGAUGAAAGUGAAAUGAUGAGAAACGCUACUCUGUUGUUCUAUAAAACACUAUUGAAUAGGCUUUCAUAAUAAAUAUGAACAUUUAAUACAUUUAGUUAACAAAAUAAUCUGUAAUAAUGUUCUUGGGUAAUGUUAAAUGCUCAUUCUCCAGUUGAGCCACCUGUGCAAUCAUUGUUUACUCUCCCAUGUGUGUAAACUUCAAGUGCCCUACAUGCUGAUAAAUAAGUGUAGUAUGGCAGGCUCAACAGUCAAGUGUUGUAAAGAUUCUGAGGUAUCUUUGUGUGUAUUUGUAUCUGUCCUUAAAGUUUUGAUACAAUUAAUAAAUAAGCGUGUUUUAUAAUUGA